CUGGUAGCUCAAUGGAUAGAGCAAUCGCCCGCUAAGCGAAAGGUUGCCGGUUCGAGUCCGGCCCAGCCCGCCCAUC
rnacentral:tRNA from 1 species